rnacentral:rRNA from 1 species
AUUGAACGCUGGCGGCAUGCCUUACACAUGCAAGUCGAACGGUAACAGGUCUUCGGAUGCUGACGAGUGGCGAACGGGUGAGUAAUACAUCGGAACGUGCCUAGUAGUGGGGGAUAACUACUCGAAAGAGUGGCUAAUACCGCAUGAGAUCUACGGAUGAAGGCAGGGGAUCGCAAGAUCUUGUGCUACUAGAGCGGCCGAUGGCAGAUUAGGUAGUUGGUGGGAUAAAAGCUCACCAAGCCGACGAUCUGUAGCUGGUCUGAGAGGACGAUCAGCCACACUGGGACUGAGACACGGCCCAGACUCCUACGGGAGGCAGCAGUGGGGAAUUUUGGACAAUGGGCGAAAGCCUGAUCCAGCAAUGCCGCGUGCAGGAUGAAGGCCUUCGGGUUGUAAACUGCUUUUGUACGGAACGAAAAGCCCCGGGUUAAUACCCUGGGGUCAUGACGGUACCGUAAGAAUAAGCACCGGCUAACUACGUGCCAGCCGCCGCCGUAA